CUACUGAGCCUGCCUGUGCUAAUUUGGGCCGAGCUGGCGCCUCACGGCCAUGUUUGCGCCACCUACAGCCUGGGAGGGUGAGCGUCAUGGCGGCUUCUUGCCCUCUCCCGGUGACCCUGGACCUGCCCACGCUACGUGCCAAGUUGCAGGGACUGCUGCAGUUCCUGAGGGAUGCCCUGUCCAUUUCCAAUGCACAUACCGUGGAUUUCUACACAGAAUCCGUGUGGGAGGAGCUGGUCGACUUGCCACCGGAGACAGUGGUGGCUGCGCUGAGGAAGUCAGCGUCGGAGGCGCAGGCCCGGCCCUCAGAGACGCGCCCCCUAGUGGAAGCAGAGGGGGAAGCAGGUAUGACUGAUUUUCCCAAAAUAUUUUGUGAAACUUCUCAGAAGUUGGUGAGUGUGGAAGCCUUUGCUCUGGCUGCGAAAUACUAUUCUGUACAAAACUUGGGAAUAUGUACUCCUUUUGAACAGUUGCUUAUAGCCCUUCGAGGAAAUCAAAACCAGAGAAAUGGUGAAAAUCAGAAGGCAGUUGAGUUUAUGAAUAUGAAGAAAUCUCAUGAAGUUCAGGCAAUGUCAGAGCUGAUCAGCAGCAUUGCUGACUACUAUGGAAUAAAGCAGGUGAUUGACUUGGGUUCCGGUAAAGGCUACCUAAGCUCUUUUUUGUCCUUGAAGUAUGGCUUAAAAGUUUAUGGAAUUGAUUCCUCAAAGACCAAUACUCAUGGAGCUGAGGAGAGAAACAGAAAAUUGAAGAAAUAUUGGAAACUCUGUCAUGCUCAGUCAAGAUUAGAUGUCAAUGGACUAGCAUUAAAAAUGGCAAAAGAAAGGAAAGUGCAAAAUAAAGUUAAAAAUAAAGCUGAUAUUGAGGAAGUGUUUAACAACAGUCCUACAAGUCAAGAAAAGAUGUCUACCUCAGAUAUUUUGCCUGAUUUUUCUGGCUCUGUAAUUUCUAAUAUCAGAAACCAAAUGGAAACCCUUCAUUCUCAGCCACAUCAAGAAGAAAAUUUGUGUUUUGAAAAUUCCUUUUCUCUUAUAAACCUUUUGCCUAUUAAUGCCAUAGAGCCUACUUCUUCACAGCAAAUACCCAACAGAGAAACAUCUGAAGCCAAUAAAGAGAGAAGAAAAAUGACAUCAAAGUCAAGUGAAUCAAAUAUAUAUUCACCUUUAACCUCUUUUAUCACUGCUGAUUCGGAACUCCAUGACAUUAUUAAAGAUUUGGAGGAUUGUUUGAUGGUGGGUCUCCACACUUGUGGUGAUCUGGCUCCAAAUACUUUGAGAAUAUUUACCUCCAACUCUGAAAUCAAGGGAGUUUGCAGUGUGGGUUGUUGCUACCACCUCUUAUCUGAAGAAUUUGAAAACCAGCAUAAAGAACAUACUCAGGAAAAGUGGGGAUUUCCAAUGUGCCACUAUUUAAAGGAAGAGAGAUGGUGCUGUGGUCGUAAUGCCAGAAUGUCAGCAUGUUUGGCAUUGGAGCGGGUUGCAGCUGGCCAAGGGCUGCCUACUGAAUCACUCUUCUAUCGUGCUGUUCUUCAGGAUAUUAUUAAAGAUUGUUAUGGGAUCACCAAAUGUGAUCGGCAUGUUGGUAAAAUUUAUUCCAAAUGUUCUUCUUUUCUGGAUUAUGUCAGACGGUCUCUAAAGAAGCUUGGAUUAGAUGAGUCCAAGGAUACACUCAAAAGCAACAAACAGAAUGAGAAAGAGAAACAAAACUCUCUUUGACAAUAUCAGAAGGAAUUUGAAAUCUUAAACUAUGUAUAUUACAAAGUACAAUGAAGGUAAAAGAGGGAUGCAGAAAGAUGCCAAGAGGAAGUGCCCACGGUUACAGAUCUCAGACAAAAUCAACAGAACAUAGUUCUCUGAAGUGUCAUAUCCUGAGGAACAAAAUCAACAAUCUCUAGUUUGAAACAAACACAACUGGUGACCAGCAUGGUGCUUCCCAAUUUAGCACAACAGAAAAAAAGAAAAUGGAGUACUCAAGAAAUCAUAUUGAAGAAAUAUGUUUUCAGGGAGCAAGAUAGGAAAGAUUGUGAGUUCUGAGUUAUCUUACAACUGCUGAUCUUCAGAUGGUAAAGGAGAGAACUAAAGGCUGUAAUUCAACACACACAAUUUUGUGAGAUGAGAGUUUUUGCUGCCUUGAAGUUCAGGCCUGGAUUUAGUCCAAUAUAUUCUUCUACAAAAGUUUGCUCCAGCAGGGACUCAUUUGAUUCAAAAAAAUGGCAAACUUUUAAAAAGGAUGGGGAGUGUGUAAUCUGCAUGGGUUCUGUACGAAGUGGGAGAGUUUUUCUGGAAGGCUUCACAAGAAAUUGAAUGAGACAGAGCCUUACUUUCCACUACCCUUUAUAGUUUUUUAAAUUCAGAAGAAAUUUAGUGCUAUAGUGAAAAAAAAAAGUGGACUUUGAAAAAAUAAUAAAUUUAUUUAAACAUUUGCAGAUAAAUCUGAGUACAAGUCUUUUCAGAUUUUUACUCAUUUUAUCCAGCCUUUCAUUUGUUCUGACCACAUUUAGUUGACAGCAAUUUCUUUUGGUGACUCUGCUUUAUCAGGCCUUUCUGUCCAGGGGAGGGCUGCUUUUUUAAAAAAAAUACAGAAUCAAUUUUUCCUGUUGCUUUCAUAUUUCAUUUGUUGUAUAAUACUUAUUUAUAUGAUAGUUUGAGUAUUCCUUAUCUGAAAUGCUUGGGACCAGAAGUAUUUCAGAUUUCAGAUUUUUUUUGAAAUAUUUACCUUAUAUACUUACCAUUUGAGCAUCCCUAAUCUGAAAAAUCCAAAAUCUGAAAUGCUCCAAUGAGCAUUUCCUUUGAAUGUCAUGUUGGCACUCAAAAAGUUUCAGAUUUUGGAGCAUUUCAGAUUUUGGAUUAGGGAUACUCAACCUGUAUAUUAUGACAAUAAUGUAACUGGCAUAGCAAGUUUAGAAAUAAAUACAAUUGACUCAGUAACAAAGCUCAUCUAGCAGGAGCAAAAGCACAAUUGAACUAGAGAGUGGCCUGCUAAAUACAAGAGUUCAACAUACUAUAGGUAUUUGUUUUAGAAAAAAAAGAAAAAGAAAUAAAAGUAAUUCUCUCUGAUGGAUUUGUGAAGUGCAUGUUAGAAGAAACUACCUUAAGUAUGAAUAUAUGCCAUUGUGUUCCUCUUGCCUUUGAAUUUUGCUCAAAGAUGUCUUGUUUUAGAUACAGUGUUGUAAAAUUUAAUUUUAGUCAAAAAAUGUUUGAGCUCCUCCUGUGUGCCCAAAGCAUAAUAACAAAUGAAAGUAAAUAUUUCCUUAUUAGUUGUUGAAAUUAAACAAUAUUAAUGGGAUGUUACUGGUGGUUUUAUUUAUGAUGUGCUGCAUAACCUGUAUCAGUGUAAAAAUUUUAAGUAAUUUAGAGUUAUCUUGACUUGCUUCAUGAAUAUCCUUAGAGUGAGUUCUUCAGACACCUAAGGUUGUAUUAAAUUGACGGCAUGUUUAUUUUACUUUAGGAUAUGUUUGACAAGGAAAAAUAUUUUUAAACUAUUGUUAAAUUUAUUGUUGUUUUUUAUCUUGAAGCUGCCAGAAAAAAUUAUAAUGAACUACUACGAGAAGUAUAAGCCUCGAAUGAAUGAGCUGGAAGCUUUUAAUAUGUUGAAAGUUGUUCUGGCUCCCUGUAUAGAGACUUUGAUUCUUCUGGAUCGACUUUGUUACCUGAAAGAGCAG